rnacentral:rRNA from 1 species
GUGGGGAAUCUUAGACAAUGGGCGCAAGCCUGAUCUAGCCAUGCCGCGUGAGCGAUGAAGGCCUUAGGGUUGUAAAGCUCUUUCGCUGGGGAAGAUAAUGACUGUACCCAGUAAAGAAGCCCCGGCUAACUCCGUGCCAGCAGCCGCGGUAAUACGGAGGGGGCUAGCGUUGUUCGGAAUUACUGGGCGUAAAGCGCGCGUAGGCGGAUUGGAAAGUUGGGGGUGAAAUCCCGGGGCUCAACCCCGGAACUGCCUUUGAAACUCCCAGUCUUGAGUUCGAGAGAGGUGAGUGGAAUUCCGAGUGUAGAGGUGAAAUUCGUAGAUAUUCGGAGGAACACCAGUGGCGAAGGCGGCUCACUGGCUCGAUACUGACGCUGAGGUGCGAAAGCGUGGGGAGCAAACAGGAUUAGAUACCCGUGUAGUCC